UCUAAAAUGGCAGACCAUUGCAUAGGAUUUAAGCUCCUAAUAGGAAACUUAGUUUCUUUUAGAA